rnacentral:lncRNA from 1 species
CAUUUUUCUAAUCUUGUUUUACUUUGGUGUCUCUUUUUAUUUCUGAUACAUUGUAAUUGUCCAUGUCCAUAUUUAUGAGGCAUAAUUUGAUAUUUCAAUAUAUCCACGUUGUAUAAUGAUCAAAUCAGAUAGAGUGACCAUCACCUUAUGCAUUUAUCAUUUCUUUGUUAAUAAGGACAUUCAAAACCCUUUCUUCUAGGUAUUUUAUAAUAUAUAAUACCUUAUUGUUAGCUAUGGCUACAGUGCAAUAGAACACCAGAACUUGUUCCUACUACUUAACUGUAACUUUGUACCAGUUGGUCAGUCUUUCCCAACUAUCUCUCACUUUUCCCCUCCUGAGUCUUGGUGCCAUUAUUCUACUCUCUGUUUCUAUGAUAUCAAUUUUUUUUUUUAAGGAUUCCACAUGAGUGAGAUCGUAUUUGUCUUUCUGUGUCUGGCUUAUUUCAUGUAACAUGAUGUCCUCCAUGUUCAUCUAUGUUGUCACAAAGUGCAGGAUUUCAUUCAGUUUUAUGUAUUCCACUGUGUUACAUACCACAUUUUCUUUAUCCAUUCAUCCGCUGUUGGAUACUUAAGCUGAUUCCACAUCUUGGCCAUUGUAAAUAGUCAUGCAGUAAGCGUGGGAGUGCAGAUAUUUCUUCAACAUAAUGAUUUUAUUUCCUUUGGAUAUGGAUCCAGUACUGAGAUUGCUGGAUCAUGUGGUAGUUCUAUUUUUAAUUUUUUGAAGAACCUCCAUACAGUUUUCUAUAGUGGCUGUACUAGUUUACAAUCCCACCAACAAUGUGUAAGUGUUCCCUUUUCUCCACAUCCUCCCUAGCACUUCUUUUCGUCUUUUUAAUUGUAGACAUUUUUUCUUUUCUUUUUUUUUGAGACAAGAGUCUUAGUCACUCAGACUGGAGUGCAGUGGCCAUGAUUUCGGCUCACUGCAACCUCCACCUCCUGGGUUCAAGUGAUUCUUGUGCCUCAGCCUCCCGAGUAGCUGGAAUUAUAGGUGUGCACCACCACACUAGGCUAAUUUUUUUAUUUUUAUAAGAUUUUAUAAAAAUAAAAUCUUUUUUUUUUUUUUUUUUUUUUUAAGACAAGAGUCUUGCUUUUGUCACCCAGGCUGGAGUGCAGUGGUGCGAUCUUGGCUUACUGCAACCUCUGCCUCCCAGGUUCAAGCAAUUCUCCUGCCUGAGCCUCCCAAGUAGCUGGGAUUACAGGAACCCGCUACCACACCCAGCUAAUUUUUGUAUUUUUAGUAGAGACGGUUUUACCAUGUUGGCCAGGCUAGUCUCGAACUCCUGACCUCAGGUGAUCCACCUGCCUUGGUCUCCCAAAGUGCUGGGAUUACAGAUGUGAGACACCGCACCCUGCCAAAAAAUAUAUAUCUCAUAAAAAUACAAAAAUCAGUAGAGAUGAGGUUUUGCCACGUUGGUCAGGCUGGUCUUGAACUCCCGGCCUCAUGUGAUCUGCCCACCUCGGCCUGCCAAAGUGCUGGGAUUAUAGGCAUGAGCCACUGCACCCAGCCUGAUUAUAGACAUCCUAACUGGAGGUGAUACCUCAUGUGGUGAUUUGCAUUUCCCUGAAGAUUAGUGAUGUUGAGCAUUUUUUCAUAUAACUCGGCCAUUUGAAUGUCUUCUUUUGCGAAAUGUCUAUUAAGGUAUUUUGCCCAUUUUAAAAUUGGGUUACUUGUUUUUUUUGCUGUCGAGUUGUUUAAGUUCGCUAUAUGUUCUGGGUAGUAACCCUUUGUCAGGUGUACAGUUUGCAUGGUAUCUCCAACUUUUAAUUAUCAAUGACAUUAAAAAGUGCCCCUGGCUGGGCAAGGUGGCUCAUGCCUGUAAUCCCAGCACUUUGGGAGGCCAAGGCAGGCAGAUCACAAGGUUAGGAGUUCGAGACCAGCCUGGCCAAUAUGGUGAAACCCAGUCUCUACUAAAAAUACAAAAAUUAGCCAGGCGUGGUGGCAGACACCUAUAGUCCCAGCUACUUGGGAGGCUGAGGCAAGAGAAUUGCUUGAAUCUGGGAGGCAAAGGUUGCAGUGAGCCAAGAUCACACCACUGCACUCCAACCUGAGGGACAGAGUGAGACUCCAUCUCAAAAAAAAAGCGGCCCCUCCUUCAGUUUAGCUUUCUUAUUCACAAAGUACUUUCACAUACAUUAUGCCCACUUGUUUCCAGCUGAGACUGACCAUGGACAUGCUCUUCUGAUUCUGUCUUGUUUGUAUAAUCCAAUUUCAUAGCUACAUUGCCAAGGAGGAUACAUUUCACAGGAUUACCAUUUAUGGUGGCUACAGAGAAUCCCACUGUUCUAAGCUCUAGUAUGCAAAACCAUUUCCCAAGUGUGCAUCUGGAAUAACUCAGUCUUUUUCUUUUAAGAAUAGUUGUGGUAAAGUGCCUUCUAUAAUAUUGUUUUUCCUUUCUUUGCAGUAUAUUUCCUUGAGUUCUCUAUCCCUUUGAGUGACACUAAUAUCAGGAGACAAUGGCACCAAGAGCCUGUGACUAGGCCUUUCCUUUAAGCUCAGAAGAAGACUGACAAAUGGGGAAGCCAAGCAGAUUCUAUGGCCCUUUUGUUACGUUCAUGCUUCACUCAUUUGUUCAGAAGUUUGUAGAGAGCCUUUCCUUGCUGAGCAAGAAGACAGGAAUACAGAGAUAGAUGGUAAGACAU